GCCAUAGCUCAGUGGUAGAGCAUCUGCUUUGCAUGCAGAAUGUCCCAGGUUCGAUCCCCAGAAUCUCGCA